CUGAAUUUGUUCCGGUGGUGGGCUUCAGUUAUGCUUGGUAAAUUAUACUCAGGUGGAAAGAUAAAUAUUCUUAGGUUAUUAGGAGAGGACGUGUAUUUGAUUACAUUAAAUACCUGACUGACUCAAUGCCUAUAAAACAAAUUUUACUACCUCGGAAAAGCUGGGCUAGGCAGCGCGACCUCAUCUCACCUGACUUCCAGGGCCCUGUGAAUCCCCCAGAACUUCAAACUAAAGAAGUCUAAGAAAAAAGACAAUGGAAGCUUCUUUUUAUAGUACCAGAAAUUUGAACUGAAUUUGCUAUAAUUUAGGAAGAACUUCCAAGUGGGUUUUCCUUAAAUUAGUAAUUUGAGAAUAUUCAAACACAAAGACAAUAUGAAAACUCAAUCCGGUAAAUCCCCAUUAACCUAGAUUUGCCAAUUAUGAAAAUUCUGCAACUUUUCUGUCUCUCUCCACAUACAGAGUUUUAUAUGCUGGAAUUAAGUUGCAGACAUUAGGACACUUUAUACCUAAAUCUUAAGAAUAAGUGCAUUGUCUUAUGAAACCGACAAUCCUUUAUCCCACCUAAAAAAUAAGUAUUGAUAGAAUUAUAUGAGUAGUCUGUAUUCAAGUCGAAUUUCUUCAGCUAUUCCAAAUAUAAUUCUUCCUAUUACAGUUCACAUGUUGCACUAGGUUAUUAGAUCCCUGUAGUCUUUCAAUAUGCCCACAUCUGCCCACAUCUCUUUUCAUACUGUUUUUUAUGAGACCCAGACCUUUGUCUUACAGAGAACACAAUUCUCUGGUAUUUCUUUUUCUUUUCUUUUUUUCCUUUUUCAGUUUUAUUAGGUAGAAAUUCUCUGGUAUUUCUGAUUCUGUUCUCAGUAUUGUUAAUGUCCCCCCACCCCCAACCUCCCCUUAAUUCCUGCAAACUAGAAAUUUAAUUAGAGGCUAGAUAGUAACUUACACAUUUUGUAGAUGAUGCUUUGUGUGCUUCCUGUUGCUUCUCAUCAGGAUGCAAGUAAAUGUCGAUUUUUCCACUACUUAAGCUAUACUACCUUUGAUCAUUCAGUUAACAUGGUGACCACCAGAACUUUUCAUUCCUAAAUUUUAUUUUUCCUUUGUAAUUAGUAUGCGGGAGUGAGUCUUGGCACUGCGAAUAUGCUGUCUCCUGAUACUUUUUCUUUUCCUGGAUGAUACAUUUUUGAGACUUACAAAAUAGGUGAUCUUCUGGUUCGUUUGUUUGCUGUUCAUUAGCUGGCAGUUUCUUCUCUUUUAUUUCAUUUUUUAACCUUUUGAUUAUCAUUGUUUACUCCUGGAUUCUCUCUCAACAUAUUGAAAUUAAUAUAUUAUUACUCUUUUUGAUGGUUCAAGUUUAUCUAGGGGCAGCUUUAAGUUCUCUCCAAUUGAUAUACCACUGAUGUUUGAACACUUUAUUGAUUGGAUCCAAUCAGCAAAAUAUUGUCCACAUAAUGGAUCAUAUGAUGUUUUGUGUAAUGUCAAGACCUUUGAGGACUGCUUUUUAGCAGAGAACGGGAAAAAUGACGUAACCAGGGGUCACUGCUGUGAAGAUACAAUGUUGGUCCUUCCGAGUAAAAGCAAAUACUCCCAGUUAUUUUUUUCAAAUUUGUAUGGAGCAAAGGGCAUUACUGACGUUAAUAUCUAUGUACCAAAUGCCAGAGAUUGUGCUGAUUUGUUCCAGUAACAAUACUGUAUUUGGAAUAAGAACUGCAACUUGAUUGAUAGCCUGAUUAAGUUUAUGAUGUCCACAGUCUUUCUUCAAAAUUCAUGUCAUCUCUGCACAGGCCACAGUGGUGAGUUAAAUGAGGAUGUGAUAAGUGUCAUGUCCCCUGGUUCUUUCACAUUUUUGAUGGUGGAAUUCAUCUUUAAAAUUCCUCUAGGCAUGUUGUAUUACUUCUAGUCUAUUAAUUUAAGGCAUGGAGAAUUCUAGGAUUCUCCAUCUAACUUUUACUAUUUUAAUAGUCUUCUCCCCAUGGGUCAGAAAAUCAAUUUAAGAAAUUCUACCAGUUGCAAAGAAUGUCUGUAUUCCAAUGAUAUGUUUAGGAAUGGGGGCUAACCACAUGGUUAGUACGCGGUUCAACUGGUCUCUCUUUACGUUCAUUGAGUGGACUCCAUUUGUCUCCUGACUACCUUAUGCUUUGACUUUGGUGGUGGGACACAGUGGGAUUUGGGGAUAUAAUUCCCCAGAAAUUAGUCAGGGUCAGUCUGGGUAUUUCCUUUUCUCCAACACACAACUGCAGCUCUAGGGGAAGGCUUGAAGGGACAUUUAUAGUGUGGAUUGUAGUGAAUGUGCAAGAUCCUUCCUUUGAUGGAGGCUCCACAGGUCAAUUUUGUGAGUUGACCUAUGUCUGGGUAAGAGGCCUUGAUUCUGGUGUUUGGCUGCUGGACUUAGGACUUCUUGUUACAUAGAUCAAGCCAUAUUUUGGUACACAGGUACUCCUCUCACUAGUCUUAUUUCUCAGUACCUUCAUGAGGAGAGUGGCUUCUAGGCCUUCAUCAUAGGUCGAUAAAAGGCAUCUGUGGAGACCACAUAAGGUAUAUCCAGUGCAACAUUCCUAUCUCUAGGAUUUCCUCCUUCACAUCAUGCAAGGAAAGCUUUGGCAUAGCAUCCUCAUUAACUAUAGCUCAACACUGAGUCCAAAUGUCAGUCAUCCAGCCAAAUAAUAUAGAGCCAUCCCCAAGCACAUGAGCUAAUAUGUUAAAUCCAAAAUACCUAAAAUGUGCAUCCAUGUCAUUGAAAUGGCUCAGUCUAAUCUGAUAUUCCACCCUCCUUGGUCUAAUACCCUAUAAUCCAUUUCCACAUAUGUUCCCUAGGUUUUCUCAGAUACGUAUUAGUGGAGGUGGAAUUAUUUUGUUUUGUCAGCUGUUCUCCCUUACCUCACAUCUUACAUCUUUCCCAUCGGAUUUUCACUAGUUCUGAGCGUAGAGGCAAGAGCAGGUGGUUGUGAUGGGUCUUCGUUUGUUUGUUUGGGGGGUUAGGUUUAUUUAUUUAUUUUUAGAGGAGGCACUGGGAAUUGAACCUAGGACCCUGUGCAUGCCAAGCAUGCACUCUACCACUUGAGCUAUACCCUCCCCACCUCUGGUAGGCCUUAAGGAGAGUCCCUUGCCAGGUAUCUGUACCAAGUGAGAUUAUCACAGGAUUGUAAGUUAGGAAGGCUAGUCUCCUCAGAAACCAAAGGUCUGCUUCCCUGCUAAAGGGGGUUCAGAGUGUCUUGUGGGUUCAAGAUUAUGAGUUUCACCUGCGUCCAGCUAGAGGUCUUCAUUCCCAGGUUCCUCUCUUCCCUGAUCACUUCUCUCAUUUUCACAUCAGAAACCAGACAAGACCACCUUAGCUGCUGUUGUACGAAUACAACUGACAAAUACUAGGAAAAGGUGGUUCUCUGAAGACUCAUAAAAUAGAAAAUGUGUGCAGCGUCUGACUUGGCCCUGCUUCCCUGCCAAGGCAAGAGGGGGAGAGAAGACCUCCCAAACUUGAGUGUUUCCACCAUGACACUGUGGAGACUGCAUGGUACUUGAAAUGUAAUCUGAGUUUUUUGUAAAAACUUAGACUUUUUUCCUUAAUUUUUGGACCAAAAAUAGACUAACCAAUGGUUAUUUCCAUUUUCUCUCAUUAUCUUACCCAAGAACCAACAGCAUAUAUGUUCUUUCAGUGCGUGUGUAUGUAUAUAUGUAUUGUACACCCUUUACAUCCUUACAGGCUCAACUGUUUUCCCACAGAACUUGAUGAGCUGAUGUAUCAGUGAUGAGCAUUCUCCCAUAGGAAUGUUGUAUCUUUAAGGCUUAGUACAUUUCCUCUCUGUGGUACUGCUCUAUGCCUAGCACAGGGACAAAACUUUUUAAUUAUUCACUGAAAGAAUAAAGGGGAAAAAACAGAGAUAAGAACUUAAAAGGAGGCCAAGCUUCUGCAACAUCCAUCAAGAAGUUCAAUGUUUUUCAAGAUUCAUCUGUGUUGUACCACACAGGGCUCAUGUCAUCUUGGCUUCUGGAGAAUUUCCACACGAAUGUGCCACUUUUGUCACUCACUAAGAAAAGCUGGGACCAAAUCUGCAUCGUUUAUCUUGUUCACCACUUACUGAUGACACUGCCAUUAGGAGGCUGGGCAGCGGAAUGAGGUCGGUCCGCAGUAGUGAUCUCAAACGUGGCCCACAAGGUUCUCAGACUCGGGCAACUGUAACAGGUUCUGGCAGGAGCCAUCGGUCUUAUUUCAGACGAUCAGAAUCCAUCUGAGGCCAAUCUGUGACCCUUACUCAUUGCCAGUAAUUAAAGGGGGCAGCAGGUGGGCUGAGUAACAAGGUGCACACCUCAAAUUAAACUACAGCACGGCACACUCCUCCACACGUGCAAACAUUUAAUACAAAGGUGUACAUGGAAUUCCUGCUCCGGAUUUACUGUGAAGGUUGAUUUGAAGUAUCACUACAGUGGUUUCACUCAACCUCAGUAAAGUGUCAUCAGCAACUGCAGGCACGCACGACGGCCAUACCCGACCACCCAAGGUUAAGGUUGCUCAAGCAUCAGAACUCUGAAGGCUAAAGUGGGGUCAUGCACAUCUGUCUGACCCCAAGGCCCACACUCAGGAGCUGCUGGGGACGGAGUCCAGCACAGCACAUUGUCAGGACUGGCUACGGUCACAGGUGUUCCUGUACAUUCACAGCACAUGGAUGGAAUAACAAACACAGAAGCAAGUCUUAUCAGUGACAGCUGGUGUGUGACUCGGAUAAGUGACACGGUUGUUUUGCCAGCCUGUGGUGCCAGGUUUAGGGGUGAAAGAGAACAUUCUUUAUUCUCACUUGAGCUUCCUGCACAGCUCGAGGUGACAGACUCUCCCCCAGGUGCUACGGUUGCUGCUCACCCACAAAAGUUGUGAAAUUGGGGUGUCCCACGUUAGUAGACGUAAUCUCGCUUUUUCUCCACUCAUCCCCUGCUUGACCCUGACCUUUAUCUGAAAGGAUCAGGGCUGAGAGGCACAUGGUAACUUUACAAAAUUGACAAGAGAUAGACAACAUCCCUCCCCCAGCCUGGAUGCCUCACUGUAAGUGAGGGUGGUGAACACUGUACACAGUCAAGCAGUCGUGUUCUCCACGAUGUAAGACAGUGUCAGUCCAACAAGGGAAUCCAGGGGCUUAGAAGAAGAUUAAGUGUGACUCCUGCAGGCCCACUUUUCACCACGGUGUAACCUGGGAGGUGUAGCCACGAGACGGUCCAGGUCUGGCUAUGAGGGGAAUGGAAGUCCCAUUGUGUGCAAGAAUGGUCAGGGCCAAGUCACAAAUGCUUCAGCUAGAUCUGCAGAACCACCCAGAACGCUGUGCCCUGAGGAAACCCUAAGAUUUCAUGUCAGGGCAGUGCUGCCCAAAUACUCCACAUUCAGUUUCUCUUGACUGUGAGCCACCCCAUGCUCAUUAAGAAUAAAUAAGAAUCUUGUGGAAAUGACUCUACAACAUUCUUACAUUCAUAAAGUUCUCCACAGUGAGAUUACAAGCGAACAUUACUGUAUUAGCAGAACUAAAAUUAACCCACAUCUCAUGUCAGCAGCGUUUCUCUCCACUGUAAGGUCUCCCAUGUGUAUGUAACGUGUAUUUCACUGAGGAAGUAGUGACGGUCUUUCCAUGUUUCUUGACAGUAUGGCUUCACGGUGAGUCCUCACAUGCCGGCUGUGAGGAGACUGAUGGCUUUGCCACAUUCCUAACAUUUGUAGAGCACCUCCCUGGCGUUUUUCUCUCAUGAUGUUGAAGUGAAUCACAUAGAAAAAAUUUUUCCUACAUUCCUUCCAUUGACCAGGUUUCUCACCAGUGUGCGCACGCUGAUCCCUGAUAACGGAAGAACUGGCAGAUGUUUCCCACAUGUAUUUCUUCUUCCGAGUGUGAGAUCUACAACGUCUAGGAAGACUUGAAGAAGCAAAGACUUUCCCACAUUUAUCACAUUCAAAAGACUUCUCUCCAGUGAGAUUUAAAAUAUCUAGAAAGAGUUAAGGAAGAAGCAAAGGCAUCUCCACAUUUCUCACAUUGAAAUGGCUUCUCUUCAGGGUGAGUUUUUAAAUGUCGAGUAAGGCCUGAGAAAUGAGUAUAGGUCGUCCCACAUUUAUUACACACAAAAGGCUUCACUCUAGUGUGAGUUUUCAAAUGAUUAAUGAGGUUUGAAGACUGAACGAAGGUUCUCCCACACUCCUUACAUUCAUAGGGUUUUACUCCAGUAUGAAUUCAAAUGUGAACACGAAGGUGUGAGGAUCUUCUAAAGGCCCUACCACACUCCUGACACUCGUAGGGUUUUAGCCCAGUAUGAAUUCGACUGUGAACAUUAAGGUAUGAAGACCACUUAAAGGCUUUCCCACAUGUGUCACAUGCACAAGGCUUCCCGGCACUGUGUGUUUCUAAUUGUCUCCUAAGGCUUAAGGACACAGCGGAGACCUUUCCACUCCCCUUACAUCUGGCACGUGUGUUAGCAGUGUGAGUUGGUACAUGAGCACCAAGGCUUGCUGAGUGAACAGCUCUCCCAUGUUUCUUCCAUCCAUAGGGCUCUUCUUUACCGCGAGUGCCGUCCUGUGCCUGAAGGUGAGGUUCAUUAACAAAGGCUCCCCCACCAUCACUGCACUCUAAGGCUUUCCCCUGUUUGCUCGAUGUCCUGUGCACGUGUGGGGCCAGCCUGACAGCUUUUCCACACUGAGUAAACAGGGAACGUUUUUCUCCAGCACAAGAUGUAUUGUGUAGAGUAAGGAAGUUUAUUCCAUCCUGAUUAUCUCUGCAAAUGUUCUUUCCACUUUUGAGUUCUCCUGUGUGUCUUAAGGCACAAGUGUUCCCUGAAGUCUCUCCCACGUUGCUUAUAGUCAUAGAGUUCCAGGCCACUGAGGCUUCUUUCCUGUGGAUAAAUGGAUGGAUGAUGAUUCAGGGAUUUCUCAGACUCAUUAACUGAUCCAAGUCAUCUCAACACAGAACCAUCACUACAGUAGCGAUGAUGACUUUUCCCAUCUCCUUGACAUUCAUACACGUCCUGCCCAGUUGAUUUCUUCCAAGUUAAAACAAUGAAAUCCUCCUGCCAGAAUGAUGUACCGUAUACUCGAAUCUCAAAAGAUUUCUACAUAGUUUCAUGGGACUGUUUUUAAAUAAGUGGGAAUGAGUCCUUGUGGAAAUUCUGAAGCAAGUUUCAAUCUAGGCCUGGAUAUCCCCAUAAUUAGCAUCACCAGAAUUCUCAGAGAGACAUGGCUCUCCCCAGGUGAAUGCCACUCAUCUCAAACAUCUGUCACUGGUGCUCCCGUUCUAGCUAAGGAAGUCCCAAGCUGAUCUGAAUGUGGAAAAUAAAUACCUGGUUUGAAACUUA